GAUGAACGCUAGCGGCAGGCCUAAUACAUGCAAGUCGGGGGGUAGAAGAGGCUUGCUUCUUCGAGACCGGCGCACGGGUGCGUAACGCGUAUGCAACCUACCUUCAUCUGGGGGAUAGCCCGGAGAAAUCCGGAUUAAUACCGCAUAAAAUCACAGGAUGGCAUUAUCCAAUGAUCAAACAUUUAUGGGAUGGAGAUGGGCAUGCGUGUCAUUAGCUAGUUGGCGGGGUAACGGCCCACCAAGGCGACGAUGACUAGGGGAUCUGAGAGGAUGGCCCCCCACACUGGUACUGAGACACGGACCAGACUCCUACGGGAGGCAGCAGUAAGGAAUAUUGGUCAAUGGAGGCAACUCUGAACCAGCCAUGCCGCGUGCAGGAAGACUGCCCUAUGGGUUGUAAACUGCUUUUAUUCGGGAAUAAACCUUAUUACGUGUAAUAAGCUGAAUGUACCGAAGGGAUAAGGAUCGGCUAACUCCGUGCCAGCAGCCGCCGUAA
rnacentral:rRNA from 1 species